GUAUGGGAUAGGGAUAUGCUGC
rnacentral:misc_RNA from 1 species